AACGUAGGACGCAAGCGUUAUCCGGAGUUACUGGGCGUAAAGCGCGGGCAGGCGGUCUUGCCAGUCUGAUGUGAAAUCUCUCAGCUCAACUGGGAGCAGCCAUUGGAAACUACAAGACUGGAGUCUGACAGAGGUAGGCGGAAUUCCGGGUGGAGUGGUGAAAUGCGUAGAGAUCCGGAGGAACACCAGAGGCGAAGGCGGCCUACUGGGUCAGUACUGACGCUGAGCCGCGAAAGCCAGGGGAGCAAACGGG
rnacentral:rRNA from 1 species